GACGAGCCUCACAAACGUUAUUCGGAAUUACUGGGCUUAAAGGGUGCGUAGGCGGCGUAGAAAGUUGGGUGUGAAAUCCCUCAGCUUAACUGAGGAAGGGCGCCCAAAACUACUAUGCUCGAGGGAGAUAGAGGAGUGCGGAACUUAGGGUGGAGCGGUGAAAUGCGUUGAUAUCCUAGGGAACACCGGUGGCGAAAGCGGCACUCUGGAUCUCUUCUGACGCUGAGGCACGAAAGCUAGGGUAGCAAACGGG
rnacentral:rRNA from 1 species